AUUGAACGCUGGCGGCAUGCCUUACACAUGCAAGUCGAACGGUAGAGGGGGCAACCCCUUGAGAGUGGCGAACGGGUGAGUAAUGCAUCGGAACGUGCCCAGUAGUGGGGGAUAGCCCGGCGAAAGCCGGAUUAAUACCGCAUACGACCUACGGGUGAAAGCGGGGGACCUUCGGGCCUCGCGCUAUUGGAGCGGCCGAUGUCAGAUUAGCUAGUUGGUGGGGUAAAGGCCCACCAAGGCGACGAUCUGUAGCUGGUCUGAGAGGACGACCAGCCAAACUGGGACUGAGACACGGCCCAGACUCCUACGGGAGGCAGCAGUGGGGAAUUUUGGACAAUGGGCGAAAGCCUGAUCCAGCAAUGCCGCGUGUGUGAAGAAGGCCUUCGGGUUGUAAAGCACUUUUGUCCGGAAAGAAAUGGCUCUGGUUAAUACCUGGGGUCGAUGACGGUACCGGAAGAAUAAGGACCGGCUAACUACGUGCCAGCCGCCGCGGUAAAAC
rnacentral:rRNA from 1 species